GGGUGAGUACAGCGGCGGACGGGUGAGUAACGCGUAGGAAUCUACCUAGUAGUGGGGGACAACUCGUGGGAACGCGAGCUAAUACCGCAUACGCCCUACGGGGGAAAGCGGGGGAUCUUCGGACCUCGCGCUAUUAGAUGAGCCUGCGUAAGAUUAGCUAGUUGGUGGGGUAAUGGCCUACCAAGGCGACGAUCUUUAGCUGGUCUGAGAGGAUGAUCAGCCACACCGGGACUGAGACACGGCCCGGACUCCUACGGGAGGCAGCAGUCGGGAAUAUUGCGCAAUGGGCGAAAGCCUGACGCAGCCAUGCCGCGUGUGUGAAGAAGGCCCUAGGGUUGUAAAGCACUUUCAAUUGGGAGGAAAAGCUAAUGGUUAAUAGCCAUUAGCCCUGACGUUACCUUUAGAAGAAGCACCGGCUAACUCCGUGCCAGCAGCCGCGGUAAUACGGAGGGUGCAAGCGUUAAUCGGAAUUACUGGGCGUAAAGCGCGCGUAGGCGGUUUUUUAAGUCGGAUGUGAAAGCCCCGGGCUCAACCUGGGAAUUGCAUCCGAUACUGGAUGACUAGAAUGCGGGAGAGGGAGGUAGAAUUCCAUGUGUAGCAGUGAAAUGCGUAGAUAUAUGGAGGAAUACCAGUGGCGAAGGCGGCCUCCUGGCUCGACAUUGACGCUGAGGUGCGAAAGCGUGGGGAGCAAACGGGAUUAGAUACCCCGGUAGUCCACGCCGUAAACGAUGUCUACUAGCUGUAAGGGGUACUUGAGACCUUUGUAGCGCAGCUAACGCAAUAA
rnacentral:rRNA from 1 species